UAUCACAGGAAUGCCACUGUUGUAGAACC
rnacentral:piRNA from 1 species